rnacentral:rRNA from 1 species
UAAGCGGAGGAAAAGAAACUAACAAGGAUUCCCCUAGUAACGGCGAGUGAAGCGGGAAAAGCUCAAAUUUGAAAUCUGGUAGCCUCAGGCUGCCCGAGUUGUAAUCUAUAGAAACGUUUUCCGCGCUGGCCCAUGUACAAGUCUCCUGGAAUGGAGCGUCAUAGAGGGUGAGAAUCCCGUCCUUGACAUGGACUACCAGUGCUUUGUGAUACGUUUUCAAAGAGUCGAGUUGUUUGGGAAUGCAGCUCAAAAUGGGUGGUAAAUUCCAUCUAAAGCUAAAUAUUGGCGAGAGACCGAUAGCGAACAAGUACCGUGAGGGAAAGAUGAAAAGCACUUUGGAAAGAGAGUUAAACAGUAUGUGAAAUUGUUGAAAGGGAAACGAUUGAAGUCAGUCAUGUCUAUUGGACUCAGCCGGUUCUGCCGGUGUACUUCCUUUAGAUGGGGUCAACAUCAGUUUUGAUCGCUGGAAAAGGGCAGGAGGAAUGUAGCACUCUCGGGUGAACUUAUAGCCUCCUGUCGUAUACAGUGGUUGGGACUGAGGAACGCAGCAUGCCUUUAUGGCCGGGGUUCGCCCACGUACAUGCUUAGGAUGUUGACAUAAUGGCUUUAAACGACCCGUCUUGAAACACG